rnacentral:lncRNA from 1 species
CACCAACCACCAACCACCAACCACCAACCACCACCCACCCAACCAGACCUCUAAACUCCCUAGGGCCUCCAGUCUCUUGAAGAUGCAUCCUCUACCUGCUCACCUUGCUAAUCGACUAAAGAGUAUCUGCUGGGUUUAUGGGUUGUGUAGAUAGGAUCCUUAAUUCACCAGUUUCCACCUGGAGUCGAAUAUCAAAGGAGCAGAAAGUAGGUGAAGAAUUGCCUUUAAUUAUUUUCUCAUGGCUUGCUCACACACACACACGAUUUAUUCCAUAGCUCUUGCCUGGUGGUCUCUGCAUACAGCUACCAUUCCUGGUUCCUGUUCCUUCAUUUUAGUCCUUCAGGCAUGGAGGUGAUUACUACCCUGAGAUGUGUAAUUAUUUCUUGUUGGUUUCAAAACUCUGUAUUCACAUUUAGAAGGGGGCCUUAUCCUGAUAAGUAUGAUCUUUGUGCGUCUAAAAAGAUUGUGAAUUG